rnacentral:lncRNA from 1 species
CUCCCCCCAUUCCCCUACCCUCUUGGCCGCCCCCCUCCCAUCUCCUCCUUUCUCAAGCACUUGCAGCCACACAUCAAACCCUAGUCGCCCCCCAUCUCCUUCUCCCAUGGUGCCAUUCGUUGCCGCUCGGAUCUCCGUCGCGUGGUGCAAAUCUUCAACGGUUUUCGGUGGAGGGAGGAAGGGAGGAAGAAAAGGGGGAGAACCCAAGGUGAUUUUUGUGUUUAUCUCUUGUUCAUUUUAUGCGGCAAUCCAAUUGUUUAGAUGUUGCGUGUGCCAUUUGGUAGAAGGGCUGUCCAGAAUUUAAAGGGGGUGGACGAACAGCAGCAGAAUUAGUGAUUUCUGGGCAUCUUUCGUGGAGAAUUAAGGGGAAUCAGUUUGGGAAUCAUGUAGAACUUUGGCAUACCUUUCCAACGAGUAUUUAUGCGCUCCAUUUGGAGUUAUAAAUUAAAAGUUAUCACCGUUUGAAACCGGAUAGGUGGCUGUCCAAAAAAACAGAUUUUCAGGGGGAUGAACAGCAGCAGUAUUACCAGUUUCUGGGGAUUUUUCGGGAGUAAUUAGUGUUAAUCAGUAUGAGAAUCAUGUAGGGCUUUAUGUUAUCUUUCCAACAAGUACUUAUGCGCUCGAUUCGGAGUUAUAAUUUAGGAGAUAUCGUUGUUUGAAUCCGGUUAUGUUGCUGUCCAAAAAAACAGAUUUUUCAGGUGGGUGAACAGCAGUGGUAUUAGCAGUUUCUGGGAAUUUUUUGUGGGUAAUUAGUGUUAACCAGUAUGAUAAUCAUGUAGGGAUUUGUCUUACCUUUCCAAUGAGUACUUAUGCGCUUGAUUUGGAAUUAUAUUUUAAAAGAUAUCGCUGUUUGAAUCCGGGUAUGUCGCUGUCCAAAAGACAAAGAAAAAACAGAUUACAGGGUUCAUCUUGUGGACUGUUUUGGGCUAAUUAGAAAUUGGAAUUUAAUUAUAAAUUGUAUACAAAACUUGUGGAGAAUUUUAUGUAGAUGCCUCUGGAGUUUUUGUUUGUUACCACUGCUGUCAUAUUUUUAAAGUUAUGAAAUUAUUAAGCAGCGCCGCUGCAGUUUGGUGGGUGUAGGGAGAGAUGUAACCCGCGGCGGGGUUUGAGUUUGUGCGUAGUUGCGGCGUCGCUUAUGAGCCUGAUUAUGUGAAAUUGGUGCACUAAGUUGGGUGUCAAAAACAGGUGGUGGACUUCCGGAUCGUAUUUAGGGAUUUGCCCGAACUUCCGGUAAAGGCAAAUAAAUACAGUGGUGGUUGCUACCAUUUGGUUUGCAUCCUAUUCCCUAUCAUUGAGUAUGCAUAAGUUUUAAUUAUGUUAAUCAUUGAAUUCUAUGAUGAAGUUUAUUUGUUUGGAAGUAUUAAUUCUCAAUUGUCUAAUAUUGUGGAUGAUCAUAAUUUGGUAAUGAUAUAUGUGGUUGAUUCCCAUCUUGGAUGAAGUUGAAGUAUCUUUUUGAAUCAUGUUAUAUGAAGUGUUGUAGGCAUGACAUGCACAUCGCAUCAUCCAUCUUGCAUUUUGAAGCUAUGUCGUGAUCUUAUGGUCCGACCGUACCGGUACAUUUUUAGCAUCGUACGUUGCCCGAGGAGGGGUACGAUGCGGCUUCAUAUCCUUAGUGGUAUGAAGGCAGAAGUCAUCCUUGCAUUUGCAGACAUUUGCACUCAUGAGGAAUAUAUGAAGUGUGACAUUACUAUGUUACUAUUGUGGUUUCUACCUGCGAGGUGUGGUAACUAGGUGUGUUGUACGUUGUAUACGUGCUGCACCUUCGUAAUAAGAAGGUUGUGGAAUCAAGUGGUGGUAAAACAAUGUUCUUAUGUGGUUAAACUGUUUGAUAUUAUUUUACUUGCUGAGAUGUGUCAUCUCACUCUUGCGUUACUCAAUGCAGGUACUUGAUACAUGUUGGGAACGAGGGGAGUAGCAGCACGUCCACUUUUACCCUCACAAUAACGCUGCCCAGGCGCAGCCAUGAUUUAAUUAGAAACUUAUUGUUAAAGGAAGUUUGUUUUCUUUAUAUGGUUGUGCGCACUGGUUAAUUCAGUUCAGGUCGUAUGUUUAUCUUCCCUUGCUAGCCGAUUAAUAAUACUUAGUAUGUUUUAG